rnacentral:rRNA from 1 species
AACGAACGCUGGCGGCAUGCCUAACACAUGCAAGUCGAACGAAGUCUUCGGACUUAGUGGCGCACGGGUGCGUAACGCGUGGGAAUCUGCCCUUGGGUACGGAAUAACUCAGAGAAAUUUGUGCUAAUACCGUAUAAUGUCUUCGGACCAAAGAUUUAUCGCCCAAGGAUGAGCCCGCGUAAGAUUAGCUAGUUGGUGGGGUAAAAGCCUACCAAGGCGACGAUCUUUAGCUGGUCUGAGAGGAUGAUCAGCCACACUGGGACUGAGACACGGCCCAGACUCCUACGGGAGGCAGGAGUGGGGAAUAUUGGACAAGGGGCGAAGGCCUGAACCAGCAAGGCCGCGUGAGUGAUGAAGGCCCGAGGGUAGAAAAGCUCUUUUACCAGGGAUGAUAAUGACAGUACCUGAAGAAUAAGCCCCGGCUAACUCCGUG